CAGCCGCCGCGGGAAUACGUAGGUGGCAAGCGUUGCCCGGAAUUACUGGGCGUAAAGGGAGCGUAGGCGGAUGUUUAAGUCAGAGGUGAAAGCCCAGGGCUCAACCUUGGAACUGCCUUUGAUACUGGACAUCUUGAGUGUGGGAGAGGUAAGCGGAACUCCGAGUGUAGAGGUGAAAUUCGUAGAUAUUCGGAAGAACACCAGUGGCGAAGGCGGCUUACUGGCCCAUUACUGACGCUGAGGCUCGAAAGCGUGGGGAGCAAACAGGAUUAGAUACCCCGGUAGUCCCUGUCUCUUAUAC
rnacentral:rRNA from 1 species